rnacentral:rRNA from 1 species
GACGAACGCUGGCGGCGUGCUUAACACAUGCAAGUCGAACGGAAAGGCCCCUUUGGGGGUGCUCGAGUGGCGAACGGGUGAGUAACACGUGAGUAACCUGCCCUUGACUUCGGGAUAACUUCAGGAAACUGGGGCUAAUACCGGAUAGGAAUCCUUGCUGCAUGGUGGGGGUUGGAAAGCUUCGGCGGUUUUGGAUGGACUCGCGGCUUAUCAGCUUGUUGGUGGGGUAGUGGCUUACCAAGGCUUUGACGGGUAGCCGGCCUGAGAGGGCGACCGGCCACAUUGGGACUGAGAUACGGCCCAGACUCCUACGGGAGGCAGCAGUGGGGAAGAUUGCACAAUGAGCGGAAGCCUGAUGCAGCAACGCCGCGUGCGGGAUGACGGCCUUCGGGUUGUAAACCGCUUUCAGCAGGGGCGAAGCUUGUGGUGACGGUACCUGCAGAAGAAGCACCGGCUAACUACGUG